CCGGCGCCCCUCCCUCCGCCCUGUGGUGCCGGCGGCGCUUGUUGUUCAGCGGCGGCGGCCGAGCUCGGGUGCAUCCUCGGGCCCGCCGCCGCCGCCGGAGCGCUUGGCCAUGGAGCUGGAGGUGCCGGACGAGGCGGAGAGCGCCGAGGCGGGGGCCGUGACGGCGGAGGCGGCCUGGUCUUCCGAGAGCGGGGCGGAAGCAGGUAUGACCCAGAAGAAAGCUGUCCUUGCAGAGACUCCCUUGGUGACAGGGCAGCCUGGCCCUGGCCAUGGGAAGAAGCUGGGCCAUCGAGGCGUGGACGCAUCUGGAGAGACCACAUAUAAGAAGACCACCUCGUCCACCCUGAAGGGUGCCAUCCAGCUGGGGAUCGGGUACACAGUGGGCAACCUCAGCUCUAAGCCAGAGCGUGACGUGCUCAUGCAGGACUUCUAUGUGGUAGAGAGCAUCUUCUUCCCCAGCGAAGGGAGCAACCUCACCCCUGCCCACCACUUCCAGGAUUUCCGAUUCAAGACCUAUGCACCUGUUGCCUUUCGUUACUUCCGGGAGCUCUUCGGCAUCCGGCCAGAUGAUUACUUGUACUCGCUGUGCAAUGAGCCACUCAUCGAGCUGUCCAACCCUGGUGCCAGCGGCUCCGUCUUCUACGUCACCAGCGAUGAUGAGUUUAUCAUCAAGACCGUCAUGCACAAGGAAGCUGAGUUCCUGCAGAAGCUGCUGCCUGGUUACUACAUGAACCUCAACCAGAACCCACGAACACUGCUGCCCAAGUUCUAUGGGCUGUACUGCGUGCAGUCAGGUGGCAAGAACAUCCGCGUGGUGGUCAUGAACAACGUGCUGCCCCGAGUUGUCAAGAUGCAUCUCAAGUUCGACCUCAAGGGCUCCACGUACAAGCGCAGGGCAAGUAAGAAGGAAAAGGAGAAGAGCCUGCCCACCUACAAGGACCUAGAUUUCAUGCAGGACAUGCCCGAGGGGCUGCUGCUGGAUGCUGACACCUUUGGCGCCCUGGUCAAGACACUUCAGCGUGACUGCCUGGUGCUAGAGAGCUUCAAGAUCAUGGACUACAGCCUCCUGCUGGGCGUGCACAACAUAGAUCAACAGGAGCGAGAGCGCCAGGCUGAAGGCGCCCGGAGCACAGCAGACGAGAAGCGACCAGUAGCGCAGAAGGCCCUAUACUCCACAGCCAUGGAGUCCAUUCAGGGUGGUGCUGCCCGUGGGGAAGCCAUUGAGACAGAUGACACAAUGGGUGGAAUCCCGGCUGUGAAUGGGCGAGGGGAGCGGCUGCUGCUUCAUAUCGGAAUCAUUGACAUUCUGCAGUCCUACAGGUUCAUCAAAAAGUUAGAACAUACCUGGAAGGCCCUAGUCCACGAUGGGGACACUGUCUCAGUCCACCGGCCUAGCUUCUAUGCGGAGCGCUUCUUCAAGUUCAUGAGUAGCACAGUCUUCCGGAAGAGUUCCUCCCUGAAGUCCUCUCCAUCCAAGAAAGGGCGUGGUACCCUGUUAGCCGUCAAACCCCUGGGGCCCACAGCCGCUUUCUCAGCUAGCCAGAUCCCCAGUGAGAGAGAAGAUGCACAGUAUGACCUUCGAGGGGCCCGCAGCUACCCCACGCUGGAAGAUGAAGGCCGGCCUGACCUCCUGCCCUGCACCCCUCCAUCCUUUGAAGAAGCCACCACGGCCUCCAUUGCCACCACCCUAUCUUCCACCUCCCUCUCCAUCCCAGAGCGCUCCCCUUCGGAGACAUCAGAGCAGCCCCGGUACAGGCGGCGCACGCAGUCUUCAGGCCAGGAUGGCCGGUCCCAGGAGGAGCCCCACGUGGAGGAUUUGCAGAAGAUAACAGUGCAGGUGGAACCAGUGUGUGAUGUGGGGAUUGUGGUCCCCAAGGAGCAGGGUGCAGGAGUGGAGGUUCCCCUAUCUGGGGCGUCGGCUGCAGCCACUGUGGAAGUGGACACUGCCAGCCAGGCCUCAGAGCCUGCCAGCCAGGCCUCGGAUGAGGAGGAUGCACCCUCCACAGACAUCUACUUUUUCGCCCACGGGAGAUACUGGCUUUUCUCUCCCCGUCGUCACCAACUGCGGGCCGUGACACCGAGCCGCACAGGCGCUGUAAGUGACCACAGACCGUCACACGAGGAGAUGAGCUCCCGGAACACAGCACCCCACACCCCUUCUCUCCUCAAAUGACUGUGGAAAAUCACAGCCAUAGUGGAGCCCACCGACGAGAGGAGCUGGGUGUACUCCCCGCUUCACUAUAGCACGCGGCCCGCCUCCGACGGCGAGAGCGACACAUAACUUCUAUGCAGUCUGCAGUCUGGAGCCCAGUGUCCUUCUGCCAUCCCAGUCACUUCCUGGAGGCGAUGCCCCUCACUGGGGCCCAGAGCUCAGCAACAUCACCCCAAGGGCCCAGGCCUGACCUCAUCCUCUCCCUCCUCACCGACGGAUGCCACCGGCCAGGCCUGUCCCCAGGAUAGCUUGGGCAACCAUCUGCCCCUGCCUAUACCUGUUGGGGCAUCAACAUUCCGAGUGCCCGAUCCUGUAUUUAUUUUGGGUCCUUUUUUGCACGGAGAAGGAGCACAGGAGUGAUUUUUCUAGGACAAAGACAAAAGACACAAAACCCAGGAAGAAGCUGCAGCCACUGGCCUUGGCGGAUUAGGCUCUACAUGUCCUUCUACUUUUGGGGACCUGCCCCAGCAACUAGGUGACUCCAGAAAAGCCCACUCUCCAGAGCUCUCAUGGUGGCCUGCAGAGGGAACAGGCCCUGGAGCCUUCACUUGUCAUCCGGAUCUGUGCUCCUGAGUUGGAUGAGGUCACCAUUGCUGCCUCAGCAGAACCCCUCCGUCACCUCAGGUUUGGGACCCAAGCAGACCAGGACUAGCCAUGUGUGCUUUCUACAUCUUCUUACCGCCACUGGGAGUAUGUCCCCAAGCACAUAUGUCCUGCUGUUACAAUCACGUGGCACUGACUGGGAGUAGCAGCCACACUGUCUGCAGCCUGUCCGGGGAAUCCCUGGGCUGAGGGCAUGCUUCCUCGCCACUCCCGGGGAACUCCUUUUCAGAGCAGAUGCUGCCCUGAGAAGAGCAAGGUCAGACUCCAGGCUGCAGAGUGACAGCUGGGUCCUCAAACACCCUGGCUGAAGAUGAACCACCAGAGCCGACUGUGUGCACUGGGACACCAGGGAGAGGGACUUGUCCCUUCCCUUGGGCAGGCUUCCCCCUCCCCAUGUGGGACUUCUGGGUACACAGUCCCAUCAUGUCCCUGUGUCAUGGAUACUCUACCCACCGUGUUCUCAUAGGAAUCAAGCUGGACAAUUCUGAAAGCCAGGCUGAAUUCCUGGUACACAGCCUUUGGGCCAGCCCCAUGGGCCACUGGGUUGCACCUUCAGGGACAUAGACGUCAAAACCUGGCUGGCUUACAGGGACCACGGCAGGCUGCAGAGGCAGUGAGGAACAUGAUACAGCCCUUUCUGCAGGUACCCAUUUCCAUCAUGGGAAGAAAGGGCAUAAACUGGGAGCAAACCCUAGCUGAUGUGUUGAUGGGGGCUGAAAUAGGAGGGAUGGACAGAUGCCUGCCCUAGACCUCACCACAGUACCAUGUUUGUGUAAGUCUCAGGGCCCCCUCCAAAGGUCUGCAUUGUUUGCUGAUGGGAGUCCUGUUUUGGGACUGGCAAAUGACACCCGUGUGGUGAGCUGCUGAGCAAGUUGAUUCAGGGGCUACAAAGGCAGGGUCCAGUCUUGCAUAGACUCCUCCAGGAAGGCAUUGUGUCGUCUGUCAUCCCAGCCCUUGGAAGGCUAAAGCAGGAGGAUUGUGGCAAGUUCCAGGCUAGGCUGGGCUACAGAGUGAAACCCUGUCUCAAAAGAGAAAGGAAAACAAAACAAAAACCCACAGGGCUGGCGUUACUGCUCAGUGGGCAACGGCCACCCAGCAGCCUAAGCCCUGGGUUCCAUCCUGGCACUCACAAACCACAUGGGGUGGAAUAUCUGUCAUCCCAGCACUUGGGAGGUGGAGACAGGAGCAGCUCAAGGUCAUACUUGUCUACGUCGGAAGCCAGCCUGGGCUACAAGAAACCCUCUCAAAAAAGAAUCUGUAAAUAUUGGUGAUUCCCCAUCCUGUUCUCUCCAACAGCCGCUAUUACCCCACCAUGGACGGCGUGUGAAUUGUACUGUAAGGACCAGAGGUACCUCCAAAUCUGAGGUGUCCCCGGUCUGCCUCUACUACUUACCCUAGCCAUUCCAGCAAGUCCCCUGUUAAGCCCCACAGCAACCUCAGUGCAAUAUGCCCUCCCCGUGGGGUCCCUUGGCACGGUACUGUCUCCACAGUCAUUCCGUCCCUCACCUCCCUCUCCGGUGGUUAAAAAUCGCAUUGCACACCCUCACCCCAGUUCUGUUUUUAUUGCUGAAUUCAUUCUGGAAACUUCAAAACAUCGUAUGUCUUACUCAUCAGGGCGAGGGAGUCUCUGGUCCUCAGCCCCUGCGGUCUGGUGACAAUCCAAGUACGGUGUCCCCCUGCAACAACCAGGGGUCCCUGUCCCUCCAAUGCAGCUGCUGCUGACAGCAGCCGGCAUCUGUAUGCAACCCAGGUUCCCACCACAACCCCUAUUUUUAAGUUAAAAUCUCUAAUAAAUCGGGUAUUAAACAGC